GUGGCCAUAGUGUAAUUGGCAGCACGGCAGGUUGUGAUCCUGUCGGUGUGGGUUCAAGUCCCACUGGUCACCCCA
rnacentral:tRNA from 2 species